UUUGCUUAAAACUACAAUUUUGACCGUUUUGUUAUAAAUAAAUAGACUCGCAACGCACUUUUUUGUUGGAUUUUUUCGGAUGUCGUAGUUUUAGCAUAUUUUGGAUCAUUCUGUGAAAGAAAUUUCUUCUUAGCGAUUUUUACCAAGUAAAAUCUUUAUUUCGACUGGACUAUUAAUAAAUGUAGUAAGGC